AACGAACGCUGGCGGCAGGCCUAACACAUGCAAGUCGAGCGAGGACUUCGGUUCUAGCGGCGGACGGGUGAGUAACGCGUGGGAAUGUGCCCUUCUCUACGGAAUAGCUCUGGGAAACUGGGAGUAAUACCGUAUACGCCCUAUUGGGGAAAGAUUUAUCGGAGAAGGAUCAGCCCGCGUUGGAUUAGGUAGUUGGUGGGGUAAUGGCCUACCAAGCCGACGAUCCAUAGCUGGUUGGAGAGGAUGAUCAGCCACACUGGGACUGAGACACGGCCCAGACUCCUACGGGAGGGAGCAGUGGGGAAUCUUAGACAAUGGGGGCAACCCUGAUCUAGCCAUGCCGCGUGAGUGAUGAAGGCCUUAGGGUUGUAAAGCUCUUUCAGCUGGGAAGAUAAUGACGGUGCCAGCAGAAGAAGCCCCGGCUAACUCCGUG
rnacentral:rRNA from 1 species